CGACGGCGUCAGUAUCUCCGGCGUGGACGCGCGCGGCGUUGCCGGGAUGGAAAUGAGCUCGGUCUCGGGCCGCUCUUCCAUGCUCGUGUUCAUGUUCAUGGUACAAAUAGUUGUGUAAUAAAAUAAGUGAGUACUAGUGGAGUACGUAGGAGUGUUAUUUUUGGUGGUUUGUUAUGUGUUUUUUAGUUGGUGGGGGAUUUGAAACGCAU